rnacentral:rRNA from 1 species
AACGAACGCUGGCGGCAGGCUUAACACAUGCAAGUCGAGCGCUCGUGGCAACACGGGAGCGGCAGACGGGUGAGUAACGCGUGGGAACCUACCUAUUGCUGCGGAAUAACUCAGGGAAACUUGAGCUAAUACCGCAUGUGCCCUUCGGGGGAAAGAUUUAUCGGCAAUAGAUGGGCCCGCGUCGGAUUAGCUAGUUGGUGGGGUAACGGCCUACCAAGGCGACGAUCCGUAGCUGGUCUGAGAGGAUGAUCAGCCACACUGGGACUGAGACACGGCCCAGACUCCUACGGGAGGCAGCAGUGGGGAAUAUUGGACAAUGGGCGCAAGCCUGAUCCAGCCAUGCCGCGUGAGUGAUGAAGGCCUUAGGGUUGUAAAGCUCUUUCACCGAUGAAGAUAAUGACGGUAGUCGGAGAAGAAGCCCCGGCUAACUUCGUGCCAGCAGCCGCGGUAAUAC